rnacentral:rRNA from 1 species
CGGGGCGGUAGCAAUAUCGCCUAGUGGCGGACGGGUGCGUAACACGUGGGUAACAUGCCGGGAAGUGGGAAAUAGCCCAGGGAAACUUGGAUUAAUGUCCCAUGUGAUCGAGAGAUCAAAGGCGGCGCAAGCUGCCGCUUCCCGAUUGGCCCGCGGCCUAUCAGCUUGUUGGUGGGGUAACGGCCCACCAAGGCGACGACGGGUAGCUGGUCUGAGAGGACGACCAGCCACACUGGAACUGAGACACGGUCCAGACACCUACGGGUGGCAGCAGUCGAGAAUCAUUCACAAUGGGGGAAACCCUGAUGGUGUGACGCCGCGUGGAGGAUGAAGGUCUUCGGAUUGUAAACUCCUGUCAGCAGCGAGCAAGGCGCUCCGGCUAACUCCGGAUCGCUCGAUAUUAGCUGCAGAGGAAGAGACGGCUAACUCUGUGCCAGCAG